UAGGCCAAACAUACGCGUUUUCUUUCGAAAAAGUUUUUGGACCCGACGUAUGUCAGAGAGACGUGUUUACUGAGAUUUCACAGCUCGUUCAACAAAGCGCCUUGGAUGGCUAUAAUAAGGUUUGCAUAUUUGCGUAUGGCCAAAUUGUAUCCGGCAAGGCACACACUAAGGCUUUUCACUGUAUAUGAAACCAUAAGAGAUCUUUCGCCCCAGCAAAGCAGCACGCGACCAAGCACGAAGGAAUACCGUUGUGUUUGAGCUUACUGUCGUCUGCAGGUAAAGUAAUAUCCUUUGGCAA